rnacentral:rRNA from 1 species
AUUGAACGCUGGCGGCAGGCCUAACACAUGCAAGUCGAGCGGAGCGGCGGACGGGUGAGUAAUGCCUAGGAAUCUGCCUGGUAGUGGGGGAUAACGUCCGGAAACGGGCGCUAAUACCGCAUACUAUCAGAUGAGCCUAGGUCGGAUUAGCUAGUUGGUGGGGUAAAGGCCUACCAAGGCGACGAUCCGUAACUGGUCUGAGAGGAUGAUCAGUCACACUGGAACUGAAACACGGUCCAGACGCCUGCGGUAGGCAGCAGUGGGGAAGAUUGGACAAUGGGCGAAGGCCUGCUACAGCCAUGCCGCGUGUGUGAAGAAGGUCUUCGGAUUGUAAAGCACUUUAAGUGGAGAGGCGUUACCAACAGAAUAAGCACCGGCAAACUGCGUACCAGCAGCCGCGGUAAUUC